rnacentral:lncRNA from 1 species
UGAAACAAUGUUUUUUCUUUUUCUUUUUUUUUUCAAUGCAAUAUCUUUAUUGAUUAUUUGGGAGUUUCAUACAAUGUGCCCUAAUCACACUCCUCCCAAGUCUAUCUCUUACCUUUAUAUUCCCUGAUCAAAAAAGAAGAAAAAAGAGGAACAGGAGGAAGAGGAAGAGAAGAAGAAGGAAAAGGAAGAGGAGGAGAAAAAGGAGAAGGAGGAGGAUGUCGACAACGACGAUGAUGACGAUGAGGAGAGCGAGGAGGAAGACUGGGAGGAGAAGAAAUAGUAGGAGAAGUAGUAGAAGAAGGAGAAGACUACAGCAAGUCCAAUUUAUGUUGCCCAUAUAUUCACUGGAACAUGGAGAAACUACUGUGGCCAGCCCCUUAAAGAUAACUGAGUUCUUACCUUGUCAGAAGGUAUAAACUGUGAAGAGUACUUCACAUAUGUAAUAUGUACUUCAGCACAUUUAUCAUAUUUUUAAAGAACCAUUUUCAAUUGCUUUUUGUCAAGACUGUUUCUUUUUGGGGGGAGGAAGUUGGGGUUGUCACAGAAGCCUUCAAUAUCUUUCACCCUCAAUUGUGAGUCUGCAGUUACCCAUACUCCCUUACCCAUAGCAACCAGCAACAGCACAUAUCAUGGAUUUUCCACAUGUUUUCUGGAAGCAGCAUAGAGCAUGAACUGCAACAUGUUCCCUGGCAGCAACACUUACAACUGACAGUAACAUGGCUCCAGUGUAGAUCAGGGACAUCAACAUGGCUUCAGGUAGCAUCCCAAGCUGCAGACAUCAACAUGGUUUUCAUGGAAGCACAAAACACAGACAUCAACAAGGUCUCCUGUAGUUACCCUGAUAAUGGGCAUAAACAUGGCUCCCUGUUGUAGCACAGACCAUGGAGAUCUUUUUAGAAUGUCCAAUCCAGAAAAUGAAUGUUUCUCCAUUUCAGACAUAUUGCCCUUGUUCAGAACCAGGGCCAUCAUGUGGAUAGGCACUAUGUUCCAGGGCUGACCCUGGGUGAGCCCAGUCUGUUGCACACUACCUUGGCACUCUACUUGGCAGCAACAUGCUCCCCUAUUCACCAUAGGAACACACCCACACCUGCCACAAACAAGUCUCCACUUCUUCUUCUCUCCAGUGUGUACCAUUUCGCUAUUAUGUUAUUUUUCCCAUGCCUCCAUCACAUCUUUAUCCGUCGAAGUGGUAUUGCAAAAUGCAAUGUGUCACACAGUAUAUAUUUUUUGUCCAAAUAGCUUUACAUGCAAACACUCACAGUAAUGAGUCCUUGGUUUGGUUCAAUGGUUCUGGUUUCUAAAGUGUAAUAAAUACUGGACCAUCACUGAAACUCUGUUGUUACUUACAGUCAGGGUGAUUUUGGGGCUGCGCAGGGUGGCCAGGUGCAGGACACUCCAGAGCUCCAGAUCACUGCACAUCUCUCUGACCUCAGAGAAAGACCCUUACUGGCUCACCUGACUUGGUAAGGAGCAUGAGCAUCUCCAAAGCCUGGCUCCAUGAUGCAGGCCUGGUAUGCUGACCUGAGCCUCCCAGGGAAUGAGGACCCACAUUAUGAGCUGACCCUUGGUCCUGCAGAUUAACCACCAUCUUGAAUAUAUUUGUGUCUGCAUGCAUGUGUGUGUAUGUGUAUUUUAAAAUGUUCUUAUAACAGAAAUUAUAGAUGAGGGCAUAUUUACCAGAGAUAUAGCCAUUCUCUCUGAUCUUCUCUGAGGUUUUUCUUUUCUUUUUUCUUUUUUUCUUUCUUCCCCAAAGGGCAUCACUCCAAAUUAGGCUCUGGCUUGGUUCUGGUGUUGGGUGACAGUGGAGAGAGGGCAAAAUAAUUUUUUUUAUUAGCUUGGAAAAUUCAUAUAUUGUUAGCACAUUUAUUCCCUUCGUGAUAGAGGCAGGCAAUAUUUAAUAAUGUGCAAUUAAAGAUUACAUUUUCAAAGCCAGAAAUUUUAAUUACUAGCAGCUGGGUUUUGAUUUAUGAGAGUGGUGAUUUUCCAUGCUAUUUUCAGUAGGAAUGGUUUCAACUGUUUAUGCCAAUCAGGAUUUUAAAGUCGUUUUGAUUCAUUUUACCAUUGACUAUUUCUAUGCUUUACUUACAAUGAAAGUGAAAUGGAUGCUUCUGAAUUUUAAUUUUUCUACUAUUCAGGAUUUCUAUGAUAUCCUACCUAAUUGAGCUUUUCUUUGUGUUAUUUUUUUUUCAGUUGGCAUGUAUGAUUUGAUUAAUUGUUAAUAAGUGAACAGUUUAAUUUGGACUAGAUUCCAUUUUUUCUUUUUGUAAUUUAAUUUUAUGUUUUUACUUAUUCACUUUACGUCACAUGCACUACCCUCUUCCAAAUCACCCCCUCCCAUACUCAUUCUCCUAUCCUCCUCCCCUUCUACGAGCUGGUAAAGACUCUCCUGGGUAUAUGCCCUGGUACUUCAAGUCUCUGUGAGUCUAGGUGCUUCUCCUCCCAUUGAGGCCAGACAAAGCAGCCCAGAUAGUAGAGCAUAUCUCACAUACAGGCAACAGCUUUUGGGAUAGUCCCUGUUCCAGUAUUUUGGGACUCAUCUGAAAGUCAAGCUACACAUCUGCUACAUACAAGCAGAGAGGCAUAGGUCCAGCCUGUGUACAUUUUUUCUUUUCUUCUUCUUCUUCUUUUUUUUUUUUUUUUUUUUGGUUGGUGGAGCAACCAAAGGUUUCAAGACUCUGAGAACAUCAAGGGUCCAAGUUAACUGACUCUUCUGGUCUUCAUGUGGGGUUCCUAUAUGCUUUGGGGCCUACAAUGCUUCUUCCUAUUCUUCCAUAAUAGUCUCCAAGCUCUACCCACUAUUUGGCUGUGGGUAUCUGUAUCUGAGACAGCUGUUGGGUGAAGUCUCUCAGAGCAUGAAGUGUUCCUAUCUGCAAGCAUAAGAGGGUAUCAUUAAUAGUGUUAGGGUAUCAUGCUUGCCCAUGGGAUGGGUCUCAAGUUGGGACAGUUAUUUGUUUGCCAUUCUCUCAGUCCUUGCUCCAUUCCCAGUGUCUGCGUUUCUUGUAGACAGGAUAAAUUUUGGGUUAGAAGUUUUGUGGGUAGGUUGGUGUCUCUAUUGCUCCAAUAAGAUUCCUGCCUGAGUAGAAGAGGUGGGCUCUUCAGGUUCCAUAUCCACAAUGUAGUGAAUCACAGCUAAGAUCACCUACAUUGAUUCUAGUGCACCUCCCUUAUCUCAGGUCUCUGUCUUGUUCUGGAGAUGCCCCUCAACCUCCUCAUACCUAUCAGUUGCACGUUUACAUUAAUUUUCAUGGUCAUCUAGCUAUCUCUCCUCUUGGUUUUUCAGAAACCCAUAUAUGUGAGGUGAAAUUGUAGUCACCUGUGCUUUAAGAUGCAAUUAUUAAAGCUGAUGGUUUAGCAUCCCCACUCAUGGACGGUGCUGAGGACCCUGAACCCUGAUUUCACUGACUAUUUACCCAACCUGUAUCUAGGAUGUUCUAAUGGCAACAUUUGGAUAUUUACAUGGGAGAGAUGCUACAGGGUCAUUGUUUAUUUCUGCAUCUUAUUUAAACCAAAUUCCUGUUUUACACAGACCUUCCUUAAUGUUAAUUUAUACUGACAGUCCGUCAUUAAUCCUUUGUGUUAAAUGAGCUACACAGGAGUUUCUGAAAACAAACAAACAAACAAAC